UGCGAUACGUAAUGCGAAUUGCAGAAUUCAGUGAGUCAUCAAAAUUUUGAACGCAUAUUGCACUUCCGGGUUAGUCCUGGGAGUAUGUUUGUAUCAGUGUCCGUGAACACAAACUUGUUUCAUUUCUUGAUUGGGAUGGAGCAGACUGUGAAGGUCUUGUAAUUACAAGUCCUUUUAAACGACGGUACCUAUGCGUCCUAGUGAGAUGUAUUAUUUAAAGGUAUGCCUGCGCUCCUUUCGAAAGUCUUAUGUGGCGGCACACAGCACUCAAAGAGAGAGCAAAUCGCGGUAGUUUUGCUUGUACUUCGGUACGAGUGGACACAUAUUGCUUUUUGUGAUUUCUGCGAGUCUGUUGUCAAAGUACAAGGCACGUAAGGAGAGUUGGUAUGCUGGUGCAUUUCUUGGCGUAUGGAGGCAAAUUGGGAAUUCAAUCCAAUUUGGACCUGAUAUCAAACAAGACUACCCGCUGAACUUAAGCAUAUCAUUAAGCGGAGGAAAAGAAACUAACAAGGAUUCCCCCAGUAACGGCGAGUGAAGCGGGAAGAGCUCAAGCUUAAAAUCUCCAUACUUGUAUGGCGAAUUGUAGUCUAUUGAGGCUGUUGUCAGCAUCGCGAUUGGGGACAAGUCCCUUGGAAAAGGGCAGCAUGGAGGGUGAUACUCCCGUCUCUGCUCCAAUCUGCGGUGUGUACGAUACGCUUUCUUUGAGUCGAGUUGUUUGGGAAUACAGCUCAAAGUAGGUGGUAAAUUCCAUCUAAAGCUAAAUAUUGGUGC
rnacentral:misc_RNA from 1 species